rnacentral:lncRNA from 1 species
GUUUAAGUGUCCCCCCUAUCCUGUUGUGGCUCAAUUUUAGGGCAUCCCUGGCAUUAGAGGGAAUCUGGGGCCGCCAGGUCCUCCAGGAGUAGAGGGGCCACGUGGGCCAGUUGGGUACAAAGGAGAGCAAGGGAGGCCCGGUGUUUCGGGUGAGAGGGGCAUGCCUGGAUUAUCGGGAUCGCCUGGACAACCAGGAGAGAAGGGCUCAGUAGGAUCCCCAGGAACUGCAGGGUUACCAGGGACAAUUGGCCCCAUGGGAGAAAAAGGAAGCGUGGGACCUCCUGGUCCACCUGGUUAUCCAGGAAAGCCUGGCCCACCUGGCAGGGAUGGAAAGGAAGGCUUUCCGGGAGGACCUGGUCAAAAGGUC